rnacentral:tRNA from 1 species
GUGCGUGUGCCAGAGUGGUUAUCGAGCAUGACUAGAAAUCAUGUGGGCUUUGCCCGCGCAGGUUUGAAUCCUGCCGCUCACA